GCCCCGGGAGUGGCUGCGCUCUCCUGCUGCUCUGCUGUCCCUCUCUUGGUGCAGAGCAGCUUGUCAGGCUCCUGACAAUAACUGGCUUCCUGUCCCAGGUGUGUGGGAUCAGCCUGCGCCACUUUCCUUUCAUGGGUGCGGUGACUCAGAUCGCGGUCUCCCAUCAGCUUUGCUCUCCCCUCCGGGGACUGGAGCUGCUUUGGGACCCUGGCCUGAGGGCCCAGGACCAUCACCAAAGCCUUCCUCCAUUCACCCAGGCUCUUCCUCCUCAACCCCACACGGGCCUCAUUGGCAUCUCCCUGGCCAAGGACACACUGAAGCUAACAUUGAAAUACAAAGGACAGACCCAGCAGGCUUGAUGAGAGGCUGAGAUUAAAAAGAAAAGAAAAAGAAAAAGUGUCAUUUAACUUCCUUUGGCUACAACACAGAAGAAUGACUUCAAAACUUCCUCCCUCCCUCCCUCUCUCUCUCUCUCUCUCUCCCUCCCUCCCUCCCUCUCACAAUCUCUCUCUCCUUUCUCAUUUUCUCAUAUUGCUUAAUUAAAUAAUUAUGGCCAUAUCAUUUUUCCUAGGACUCUUACUUUUUUAUUUCUGUAUUUUUGAGCUCGUAAUCUUGAUCCUGCACGCAUAAAUCAUAAUCAUUGAUGCUCUGCUUUGCUCAGAGGCCAAUUUAGAAAAGUUGGCUCUUAAUCUAAUAAGUUUAAAAGUUAUAAGGCCUUUACUCAUUUGUUCCGUCUACUCUCUUGUCUUUUCUGUAUGUGUGUGUAUCAAAACUAACAUAUAAAGUGCUCUUAAACUAAAAUUCAAAACUGAA